rnacentral:rRNA from 1 species
UGCAAGACUUGAGUGCGGCAGAGGGGGGUGGAAUUCCACGUGUAGCAGUGAAAUGCGUAGAGAUGUGGAGGAACACCGAUGGCGAAGGCAGCCCCCUGGGUCGACACUGACGCUCAUGCACGAAAGCGUGGGUAGCAAACAGGAUUAGAUACCCUGGUAGUCCACGCCCUAAACGAUGCCAACUAGGUGUUGGGGAAGGAGACUUCCUUAGUACCGUAGCUAACGCGUGAAGUUGGCCGCCUGGGGAGUACGGUCGCAAGAUUAAAAACUCAAAAGGAAUUGGACGGGGACCCGCACAAGCGGUGGAUGAUGUGGAUUAAUUCGAUGCAACGACGAAAAACCUUACCUACCCUUGACAUGCCAGGAAUCCCGGAGAGAUUUGGGAGUGCUCGAAAGAGAACCUGGACACAGGUGCUGCAUGGCUGUCGUCAGCUCGUGUCGUGAGAU